rnacentral:rRNA from 1 species
AAGUGAGAAUGUCGGCUUGAGUAGCGAAAACAUGGGUGAGAAUCCCAUGCCCCGAAACCCUAAGGGUUCCUCCGGCAGGCUCGUCCGCGGAGGGUUAGUCUGGACCUAAGGCGAGGCCGAAAGGCGUAGUCGAUGGAUAACAGGUCAAUAUUCCUGUACCAGAUGUGUUUUGGGAAGGGGGACGGAGAAGGCUAGCCAGGCCAGAUGUUGGUUACUGGUUCAAGCGUUCGAGGCUUUGAGAGAUGGAGAAAACAUCUUGAGCUAAGGCGUGAGUACGAGCUGCUACGGCAGCGAAGUUGGUGAUGUCAUGCUUCCAAGAAAAUCCCUAUACCCGUUAAGGCAUAACUGCCAGUACCCGAAACCGACACAGGUGGGGUGGUAGAGAAUACCGAGGGGCGCGAGAUAACUCUCUCUAAGGAACUCGGCAAAAUGGUCCCGUAACUUCGGGAGAAGGGAUGCCAGCGAAAGCUGGUCGCAGUGAAGAGGCCCAGGCGACUGUUUACCAAAAACACAGGUCUCCGCUAAGUCGCAAGACGAUGUAUGGGGGCUGACACCUGCCCAGUGCCGGAAGGUUAAGGAAGCUGGUUAGCGUAAGCGAAGCUAGUGACUGAAGCCCCGGUGAACGGCGGCCGUAACUAUAACGGUCCUAAGGUAGCGAAAUUCCUUGUCGGGUAAGUUCCGACCCGCACGAAAGGUGUAACGAUCUGGGCGCUGUCUCGGAGAGAGGCUCGGCGAAAUAGAAUUGUCUGUGAAGAUGCGGACUACAUACACCCGGACAGAAAGACCCUAUGAAGCUUUACUGCAGGUUGGUAUUGUUCUCGGGCUCUGAAUGCGCAGGAUAGGUGGGAGACAUUGAUGUAGUGCUUUUGGGUACUACUGAGUCAACGGUGAGAUACCACUCUUUCAGAGCUAGAGAUCUAACGUUUACCCGUUAUCCGGGAAACGGACAGUAUCUGCUGGGCAGUUUGACUGGGGCGGUCGCCUCCUAAAAGGUAACGGAGGCGCACAAAGGUUUCCUCAGGCUGGUUGGAAAUCAGUCGUCGAGUGCAAAAGCAGAAGGAAGCUUGACUGUGAGACCUACAAGUCGAACAGGGACGAAAGUCGGUUUUAGUGAUCCGACGGUUCUGAGUGGAAGGGCCGUCGCUCAACGGAUAAAAGUUACUCUAGGGAUAACAGGCUGAUCUCCCCCAAGAGUUCACAUCGACGGGGA